CAAGGGAAGGUCAUGCCUGACCAAUCUGGUGGCCUUCUAUGAUGGAGUGAUGACAUCACUGGACAAAGGUUGGAAUUGGUUGGAAGAUUAUCAGGGCUGGAACACCUCUCCUAUGAAGACGGGUUGAAGGAGCUGGGCUUGUUCAGUCUGGAGAAGAGAAGACUGCAGGGAGACCUCAUUACAGGCUUCCAGUAUUUAAAGGAAGCAACUGUGGGUGCCCCGUCCCUGGAGGCGUUCAAGGCCAGGUUGGAUGGGGCCCUGCACAGCCUGAGCUGGUGGGAGCAACCAGCCCAUGGCAGAGGAUGGGGCUGGGUGGGGCUUUGAGUUCCAUUCUGACCCAAGCCAUUCUGUGAUUCUAUGACAUUGUUUGGCAGUGUCACACAAGGUGUCCCUGCCACUGAAGCUCUCUGCUCCUGACCUCUGCACCCAGGCCAGCCUCUCACUGGAGUCCUGCCUUGGCCUGCUCCCCACCUUGCUCCAAUGGCAGGGAACAGGAGGCAGCAGAGCAACCACAGAGUGCAGGAUGCUCCUGGCAAUUUGCAAAGUGCUGUGAGCAGGAUAUGCCAAGAAUUCUAUAUCUAAACAUCCACCAAAUGUCCUCUGUCUCUGUAAAAGUCUCCAGGCCCCUUACCCUGAAAGCUAGGAAACUUUUUUUAUGCAUAACUACAUCAGAAUUGUCCUUGUGCAAACCUGGGCCUUUUGACUGAUAGGAGGAAACUGCCCAGACAGUUCCUUGGAGUGAAUCUCCUUUUCUCUGCCUUUGCCCUAGACCUGUAGUCACCAAGACAGACAUCCUAUCUGCUAUCGAAGGCUGAAACUGCAUCCUCUACUUGUCUUUUUGGCAGUCUCAUUACACCAAGCCCUCCCUGACAUGGCUUUCAGCCAGGGGGGAUUCACUCUUAUCUGAGUGAGUGUUGUCUGGAGGAAUGCAAGAUAGAAAGCACUGAGCAGAACCAUAUUCACCCUGCUGCUCUGCAUUGCACUUAGAAAGCUGUCUUCAGCAUUGCUAUUAGUCAUGCUCACAUGCAGUGCUCUUUUCAGAUUUUUUGAAGAAUUGCACUGAAUUAAUAAUACCUACUUUCAUAAUGGCUUUCAGGCUGAGCUUUCAAAAUGUUUACACAUGGAAGAUGAGCACUGAUGGGUAACUUGCAGAUGACUCAGUCAUUUAGUGGCAAAGCAGAAACAGAACUGGAGUUUCCUAUUUAGCACACCCUGAUACAGGGGGCAAAAUGCUGCCCUGGGGUUUGGCUUGCCCGUAUGCACGAUGUAAGAAAAGUGAUUCGUGGAAGGUGAUAGUUUACAUGGUGUGACAACUGUUGGGGUAGAUUUUGGGGAUCAGACCUAUUUUUUCAUUUCAUAUCCGUCUAGAACCCAACACACUGUGUCUUUCUGUUUCCAAUGAGCUGUUAGUGAUAACAGUAUCAGAAUUCAGAGCAGCCUCUGCAUUUUCUGACCAAAUAUUUCUUCUGUAGAUUAAAUAUCUAAUCAUAAUAAAAGUGAAUAAAGAUGCA
rnacentral:lncRNA from 1 species